ACCAGAGUUAGCUUUAAAGGCUAACCUUGCAUUAACUGACAGAAAACUAUAAAGAGACAAAGCACUUAAGGAAAUAAAACAAGAUUAAUUUCCACCUUCAUAACAUCAUCCAUUUGGAUUUUGUUAAAGUUUAGUCACUUAAAAGCUAGCUGGCUACCUGCUAGGCCUCAGCUAACUGGAGCCCCUGACCUAAACCUCUGGACCAUUUUUGUCAGGUGUGUCCCAGACUGUGCUGAAUCCAUCCAUCCAUCCAUCCAUCCAUCCAUCCAUCCUCUGCUGCUGAAUCCAGCAAAAUGUGGCUGUAUCAGGUCAAAGAAGCACGUCAUAAUUGGACCUGUUUGCCUGAAACGCCAGAGAUGAGGGGAGGCUCCCGAGAUCUCUGACCAUCAGACUUCACUUCCAGCUUUAAAAUAUGUCAUCCACUCUCUCAGAGAGGAGAGUAGGCCAGAGGGCGGUGGCGAUGGAGGGUGUUUGGGGGGUGCCCCGUGUUGUUUGGGGUCAGCAUGUUUGGAGGUUUCUGCCUUUGUUUAAAUCCCAUCAAGUGUGAAAAACAGGGGCAGGCCUGAGGCCCUCUGCAUCCUCUCCCAGCCCCACCGGAUCAUCCCACUAAAUCCGAACGCCAUUAAAGGAAACAUUAACCUUUCAGUUUGACAGUUCGCACUCACACAGGCAGGUCGGCUGACACAAACAAGUAAUUUACACUUUUAUAGUUUGGUGAAGCCCCGAGAGAUUCGAGGGUGGAAAAAGCAUCAUUUCUUGCCUCCAUCAACACCUAAACAAGUGGUUAACAGCGAUGUUUCUGCACCCUCAGAGAGUGCGGUGUCAGGCUGUGAUUAACAAACAUCUCCUGGAACAGUA